CUCACUGUGUGGCAGAGUGAAGAAGGAUGAGUGUGACAUAAUGAUAGAAGAUGAGUGUGACAGGAUUAGGGGGUAAUAUGAUAAAGGUGAGUGUGGCAGAGCGAUGGCAGGUGUGUUAUGGUUGGACAGGGUGAAAGUGACAGGAAUAGGAAGGGUUAUUGUGAAUGUGGUUGGGUGAAGGGGGGUGUCAUUAUGUGGUGAUGGUGAC